GUCAGUGCCUGUCAGGACUCAGCAUGGACAUGAGGGUGCCUGCUCAGCUCCUGGGGCUCCUGCUGCUCUGGCUCCCAGGUGCCAGAUGUGCCACGGUGACCCAGAGUCCAUCCGUGGUGUCUGCAGAUGUAGGGGGCACAGUCACUAUCAACUGCCAGUCAAGUGAGAGUGUUUUGCUCAGCAUUUUUCUUUCCUGGUAUCAGCAGAAACCAGGGCAGCCUGCUAAGUUCCUGAUCUAUGCUGCAACCACUUUAGAGUCUGGGGUCCCCUCAAGGUUCAAGGGCAGUGGAUCUGGAACAUCAUUCACUCUCACCAUCAGCCCGGUGCAGGCUGACGAUGCAGGAACCUACUACUGUCAAGGCGGAUAUGAUUGUAGUGAAGCUGAUUGUACUCCCACAGUGAUACAAACCUGA